UACGUAGGGUGCAAGCGUUAUCCGGAAUUAUUGGGCGUAAAGAGCUCGUAGGCGGUUUGUCGCGUCUGCUGUGAAAACUCAGGGCUCAACCCUGAGCCUGCAGUCGAUACGGGCAGGCUCGAGUUCGGUAGGGGAGACUGGAAUUCCUGGUGUAGCGGUGAAAUGCGCAGAUAUCAGGAGGAACACCGGUGGCGAAGGCGGGUCUCUGGGCCGAUACUGACGCUGAGAAGCGAAAGCAUGGGGGAGCGAACAGG
rnacentral:rRNA from 1 species